rnacentral:rRNA from 1 species
GACGAACGCUGGCGGCGUGCUUAACACAUGCAAGUCGAACGGAAAGGCCCUGCUUUUGUGGGGUGCUCGAGUGGCGAACGGGUGAGUAACACGUGAGUAACCUGCCCUUGACUUUGGGAUAACUUCAGGAAACUGGGGCUAAUACCGGAUAGGAGCUCCUGCUGCAUGGUGGGGGUUGGAAAGUUUCGGCGGUUGGGGAUGGACUCGCGGCUUAUCAGCUUGUUGGUGGGGUAGUGGCUUACCAAGGCUUUGACGGGUAGCCGGCCUGAGAGGGUGACCGGCCACAUUGGGACUGAGAUACGGCCCAGACGCCUACGGGAGGCAGCAGUGGGGAAUAUUGCACAAUGGGCGGAAGCCUGAUACAGCAACGCCGCGUGCGGGAUGACGGCCUUCGGGUUGUAAACCGCUUUCGCCUGUGACGAAGCGUGAGUGACGGUAAUGGGUAAAGAAGCACCGGCUAACUACGUG